GAUGAACGCUGGCGGCGUGCCUAAUACAUGCAAGUCGAGCGAACAGACGAGGAGCUUGCUCCUCUGACGUUAGCGGCGGACGGGUGAGUAACACGUGGAUAACCUACCUAUAAGACUGGGAUAACUUCGGGAAACCGGAGCUAAUACCGGAUAAUAUAUUGAACCGCAUGGUUCAAUAGUGAAAGACGGUUUUGCUGUCACUUAUAGAUGGAUCCGCGCCGCAUUAGCUAGUUGGUAAGGUAACGGCUUACCAAGGCAACGAUGCGUAGCCGACCUGAGAGGGUGGUCGGCCACACUGGAACUGGGACACGGUCCAGACUCCUACGGGAGGCAGCAGUAGGGAAUCUUCCGCAAUGGGCGAAAGCCUGACGGAGCAACGCCGCGUGAGUUAUGAAGGUCUUCGGAUCGGAAAACUCUGUUAUUAGGGAAGAACAAAUGUGUAAGUAACUAUGCACGUCUUGACGGUACCUAAUCAGAAAGCCACGGCUAACUACGUG
rnacentral:rRNA from 1 species